GGAGAACAUCUUUGACGAGUUCUAAAAAUAAAUAAGAAUCGGUUCAAAGAAUUUUUUUUUACCAAACAUACAAGGGCAGAUAACUGACACUUUUUUUAACCUUUGUUACCCUAAUAGACUUUCUUAUCUUCCACUUCAAGAAAUUACGUACACAAAUCUGAGUACUUUGUAGGCGUUGUUGUAACUCAUGUGUCACCUUUUCUUUCUUGUUCAUUUCCAAAUAUUAGCGUGAAUGUUUGUUGUUACAGUUUUGAUCUGACCUUAGCCUAGCCCUUUCCUUUCUCACCAUCCUGACAAGCCUUGAUAUGUCCUAAAGAGUUGUCCAC